rnacentral:rRNA from 1 species
UACGGAGGGUGCAAACGUUGCUCGGAAUCAUUGGGCGUAAAGCGCACGUAGGCGGUCCAGCAAGUCGGGUGUGAAAGCCCUCGGCUUAACCGAGGAAGUGCAUUCGAAACUACUGGGCUUGAAUACUGAAGAGGAUCGCGGAAUUCCCGGUGUAGAGGUGAAAUUCGUAGAUAUCGGGAGGAACACCAGCGGCGAAGGCGGCUCACUGGUCCGGUACUGACGCUGAGGUGCGAAAGCGUGGGGAGCAAACAGG